ACAUGCAUAUCAUGAACAAUGGAUUGGAUCCUGGUGUAGCUCCUGACCUUACCAGCUCCGAUCAAACUAUCCAAUCCAUACCAGCAUGGAGAACAGACGUUAAAUGAU